rnacentral:tRNA from 1 species
GCCUGCUUAGCUCAACUGGUAGAGCAACUGACUUGUAAUCAGUAGUAGGUC